GAUGAACGCUGGCGGCGUGCCUAAUACAUGCAAGUCGAGCGAACAGACGAGGAGCUUGCUCCUCUGACGUUAGCGGCGGACGGGUGAGUAACACGUGGAUAACCUACCUAUAAGACUGGGAUAACUUCGGGAAACCGGAGCUAAUACCGGAUAAUAUAUUGAACCGCAUGGUUCAAUAGUGAAAGACGGUUUUGCUGUCACUUAUAGAUGGAUCCGCGCUGCAUUAGCUAGUUGGUAAGGUAACGGCCUACCAAGGCAACGAUGCGUAGCCGACCUGAGAGGGUGAUCGGCCACACUGGAACUGAGACACGGUCCAGACUCCUACGGGAGGCAGCAGUAGGGAAUCUUCCGCAAUGGGCGAAAGCCUGACGGAGCAACGCCGCGUGAGUGAUGAAGGUCUUCGGAUCGUAAAACUCUGUUAUUAGGGAAGAACAAAUGUGUAAGUAACUAUGCACGUCUUGACGGUACCUAAUCAGAAAGCCACGGCUAACUACGUG
rnacentral:rRNA from 1 species